rnacentral:rRNA from 1 species
UACGUAGGGUGCAAGCGUUGUCCGGAUUUAUUGGGCGUAAAGAGCUCGUAGGCGGCUUGUUGCGUCAGCUGUGAAAACCCGCAGCUCAACUGUGGGCUUGCAGCUGAUACGGGCAGGCUUGAGUUCGGUAGGGGAGACUGGAAUUCCUGGUGUAGCGGUGAAAUUCGUAGAUAUCGGGAGGAACACCAGUGGCGAAGGCGGCGACCUGGGCCAAUAUUGACGCUGAGGUGCGAAAGCGUGGGGAGCAAACAGG